AGAAUAAAACUACAUUUAGUAUUUUGAUUUCGGCUCAAAAAUUUUUGAAAUAUUCAAUUAUUCUU
rnacentral:tRNA from 1 species